rnacentral:piRNA from 1 species
UCUAACUAUAGACUUGGAUCGUC